rnacentral:rRNA from 1 species
UACGGGGGGAGCAAGCGUUGUUCGGAUUUACUAGGCGUAAAGGGCGCGUAGGCGGUCAGCACAAGUCAGUUGUGAAAUCUCCGGGCUUAACUCGGAAAGGUCAACUGAUACUGUGCGACUAGAGUGCAGAAGGGGCAACUGGAAUUCUCGGUGUAGCGGUGAAAUGCGUAGAUAUCGAGAGGAACACCUGCGGCGAAGGCGGGUUGCUGGGCUGACACUGACGCUGAGGAGCGAAAGCGUGGGGAGCGAACAGG